rnacentral:tmRNA from 1 species
GGGGGCGUUUGGUUUCGACGGGGGUAGUAUUGGCGAAAGCAGCGAGCCGAGCUCUUUCCAACUCGUUAAACUGGAAAACCUAAAUUAAACGCAAAACAAGAUUUAGCUUACGCUGCUUAAUUAAAAGCUGCGCGCCUUACCGACUUCUGCCUGUGGAGUUGGAUAAGGUGUCAUAAUUAACAGGCUAUUCUCCUUUAUCGCCCCGGUGAAGGAGAAGAAAUCUAGGGGCUAGCUUUGCAAAAGAUCCUGCCCUUGGGAGUUUUGCAAAGCGAAAUCAAAACCAAGGGAUACGCUCGUAGAAGCUUUCGUGGGUACACCUUCGGACAGGGGUUCGAUUCCCCUCGCCUCCACCA